AAAAUUUAUUUUCAUACACAGCAGUGACACUUCGAUGUCACCUCAGCCAUUGUUGACAAGUAAACCGGAAGAAGUAGUACUCAAACUCAAUAGUUUCAAACCAUUUCCGGGUCAUGCAUGAAAUUC